GUAGAUCAUCUACUUUUGUGAAGUUCUAUUUUAAAAAUGUAUCAUUUGAUUUUCUUAAAGAAUAAUGUUUUUCUCCCCGGCGAGUUAUUUUCCGGAAAGUGAACUGUUUUUAAGUCAACAGUAUGGAACAUAUCAUAUAUAUGACGGCCACAAGUAGUGGUUUAUCCAUCAUAUAUUUUUUUUUUUUUAAAUAUAUUGUUUAAAUAUGUGGGAAAGUGAAUAAGAAUACAUGAUUUGUGCUGUGUACAGUUAUUAUUGUGUAUAUAAGAGGGACUGUUGUAGCAGUUUUUAUGAAAUAGAAGAUAUAGAAAACUCUGGAAUGAGAAGAUCUACUAUAAUUGUUGGAGUGGUCAGAAAGUACCUGAACCCGCCUCCAAAGAGGGACUGCUUUGGGAAGGAAUCCUAAAGUACAUAUGUCAGACUACUUUCUGAGGCCUUCGAAGGCGCCAAGGAAAGUGAUUCGAGCAUGAGGUCGUGUGGAGAGGAAACUACGAUACGCAUGCGCGAAAGUUGUUUAUUUCCGGUAGUCGUCUAUUAUGCGGCGCCUACCGUAUAGCGAGUUAUUUUCGGGCCGAGA